rnacentral:lncRNA from 1 species
UUUUUUUCUUUCUUUUUUCUUUUUUGUCUUUUUAGGGCUACACCUUCAGCAUAUGGAUGUUCCCAGACUAGGUGGUGAAUCAGAGCUGCAGCCGAUGGCCUAUACCACAGCCACAGCAACACCAGAUCUGAGCUGCGUCUGCCACCUACAUCAUAGCUCACAGCAAUGCCGGACCUUUAACCCACUGAAUAGGACCAGGGAUCAAACCCACAUCUUCAAAGAUACUAGUCAGGUUCGUUACUGCUGAGCCACAAUGGGAACUCCUAUUUUGAAAUAAUUUUAGACUCACAUGCAAGUUUUAAAAAUAGUACAAUUCCCUUGUCCCUGUCACCAUUUUCCCCAAAGACAACAUUGACAUAACCCUAACACAAUGAUCAAAACUUCCUAGUUUUGACAUUCCUAGUUGACAUUGGGCCGCUCCCGCGGCAUAUGGAGGUUCCCAGGCGAGGGGUGGAAUCAGAACGGUAGCUGCUGGCCUACACCAGAGCCACAGCAACACGGGAUCCCAGCCACAUCUGCAACCUACACUACGGCUCACGGCAACGCUGGAUCCUUAACCCACUGAGCAAGGCCAGGGAUCAAACCCACAACCUUAUGGUUCUUAUUCGGAUUUGUUAACCACUGAGCCAUGACGGGAACUCCAGAACUGAUUUGGAUUUUACCUGUUUUCACAUGUUGAUUUUUCACAAGGGAGGAUACUGACAUUCAACAUGUGCAUAUUUUUGAAUAACCAUCCCACAAUAAGGACACAGAAUUCCUCCAUCCCCUUUAAGAGACUUCCCCACACUCUAACCUGGUAACACUCAUCUGUUCGUCAUCACUAUAUUUUUCUCAUAUCAAAGCUAUGAUAUACCUGGAAUUAUAGAGUGGUAGAAGCUUUUAUUUUUUUUAAUUCAGCUGUUUUAAAAUUAUAGAAAGGAGUACAAAAAAUUAUAUGGAAGAUCUCCAUGUACUAAUAGAAAAUGACCUCCAAAAUGGAUUGCCAAGCAGGAAAAAACAAACAAAAAAGCUAUGGAAAGUUUAAAUAUAUGUAUUUAAAUAAACAAAGAAAAACAACUGUUAAUGGAGCAGUUCUAGAAAUAUAUGCAAGAAAGUUGUACUAGCUGUCUCUGGGGUAGGGUCCUGGCAGCCAGAUCAGAGGUGUUGGAUAUUUAUUUUCAUUUACAUACCUCUGUGUUAUUUGAAUGCUGUAUUUGCAAUUAUACUUUAAAUGCAUCUCUAAAAUGUUUUAAAACCACUGGUUUCACUUAAUGAUCUCAUUUUACAGAUAGUACAUCAGCCUUGCUCAGGUCUGCCUGCACAAAGCCUCUAAAGCAGAGGGAGGCUGUAUGAGGAAGGCAACUGGCCAUCAGGGCUGGGCCAGGAGGUGGGCUUUGUUGGAAAGUUUCUGUCUCCCAUGGAAACAAAGGUGCUGCCAUGGUUCCCUCUUGGCACAACAGAGAAAGUCAAAGGCUCGGGAUUUUAUACAGGAGUCUCUUGAUCCUAUGAGAUUCCUUACUUAGAACACAAUGCUGACUUCUCUCCUGGGCAGGAACUAGGAGGAACUUAGGGCAGACUCUGAGUAGCUGCGCUCAGAAGCAUCCUUGGUCUGGCUAUUCUCCUGUCCUUGAAGAUGCUCAAUGACACUUUUGAUCAGCACUGUUCAGAGUCUUUGGUUUUUCCUAUUUGUGCUUUUCAUCAGUAGGGAAUAACCACAUAAUUUCUCCCUUGAUAUCAGGGCCCACAACAGUAUGAUGUCUCAGGGAAUGAUAUCAUGACACUCUAAUUUUUCUUUUGCUUUCGUGGCUGAAAAUCCGAAGGUACUCUAAAAUUCUAAGAGGGAAAAGUGGCCAUCACCCACACUUUAUCUGUCAUUUCUGGAUUUGGAUUCAUCUGUUUUAACCUUUCAAUCUAGCCUCUGGUGCCCACUUCCUCUGAAAGGAAACAUUUGCCAUCCAGAAAACGGUACUCGUCUCUACUGGCUAGACACACAGCGCUCUGGGAAACCCUAACGCUUAUUGACUGGAUGAUCUCAAGUAAUCUGCCUCAGUUUCUUACCUCUAAAAUGGGGCUAAUAAAAAGUAUUGGCUUCUAGGCUCUUGUGAGAUUCAGUGAGAUAAUGCACAGAGAACAUAUAGCACAACGCCUGUGACAUAGUAAGUACUCGAUACAUGUUCAAAAAGGAAAACAUGAAGCCAGUUGCUGGCAACUCUAUCUCUAGUCCUUAGGCCACUUGCCAUCUAAGCCCCUGCUUCAAAUUAUUUCUUUUAAUUAUUUUCUUAGGUCCUUCUACUUUGAACAACUUUGAUGUAGGCUAUAGGAUGAUUUAGGCUUUGGCAAAUAGAAUCCAAUGUUCCUCAUAGUUUUGGCCUUGCUCUAGCAGGGUAAGUUCUCUAAUGAGGCCUAUUCUUUCUAAACCCUAUUGACCAGCUUACAGUGCUCUUCCAGAAAUAGGAACCUGGUAUUAUUCACUUGGAUUUUCAUUUUUCUCUUAUCUACACCCUUCCUCUAUCAUUACUUUGUCCAUUCCCUCCUCAUUUGAUCUAUUUCCAGUUUAUACAUUCAAUGGAUUUAAAUUUAAACUACUGGAAUUAAACCUAAUCAUGGGAAGAUUUCUAAAUUUCCCUUAGACAAUUUAUUUAUUUAUUUAUAUUGUGUUUUUGCCUUUUCUAGGGUCACUCUCGUGGCCUAUGGAGGUUUCCAGGCUAGGGGUCAAAUUGGAGCUAUAGCUGCCAGCCUACACCACAGCAACUCGGGAUCCGAGCCGAAUCUGCAACCUACACCACAGCUCACAGCAAUGCCGGAUCCUUAACCCCCUGAGCAAGGCCAGGGAUCGAACCUGCAACCUCAUGGUUCCUAGUCAGAUUCGUUAACCACUGAGCCAUGACGGGAACUCCAUAGACAAUUUAUUAAUUGUCCCUUCUUGAAAUAUAAGGAAGAGGUAGUGAUGUGCUUAUUAUGUUUCUGGCUAUAAGACACUGCGACAUUAGUGACCAUUCCAAGACCAGGAAAGAUUUCAAGUACAUAAGCCAACUCAGUUCAAGCCCAAUGAAGAUUCCUUGGUGUUAGUAAUGGAGCCUUGGUGAACUCAUAAUGUAGCAAAAUGCAAAAACUCACAGCCUACUUUUUUACAUAUGUGUAAUAAUAUUUACCAAUGCUUAAAUAAGCAACCUCCUAUUAUCUCACAAAAUUAUAAUUCAGCAGAUAAUACUGCCAACAAAUGAGCAAUGAUUGUACAUGGGUGUGUUGAACUCAAUUCCACCCACAUGUGGUGUGUUUCCCUUUUAUUCAAAGGUCUCAGUUACAGCAAACUCAUUAGUUAUGAAAUCAAAAUAAACAACACAGUUGGACCUCACUUUUCUCACCUGUUAAAAGAAAGAGUUGGGGUGUAUACUAUUUUAAGUCUCUUCAAGCUAUAAAUUGCUAGGGUUUCUCUAAAUUUGUUUCAAGUUCUUAAGCUUUUAAUGUUUACAUAAGGCUAAAUAUUCUCCAAUUUUAAGUCAUGCUCAACUCAAAUACACCUUCUCUCAAAAAACAGAUAAACAUGAGUCAUUUACAGAAAAGUGCUAGUAGCUAAUCCACGCUGAAGCAAUGACCAAAUUAGAGUGUCACCAUUUUGUUAACCCCAGGUUGAGAGUCAGACAAGACUCAUCAACUGAUAAUAUAAGCUUUAGGUUUGGGUAAAGAAGCAAUACAAAGUGUCACCCCACAGAUCAUUAAUUGCAAUGAAAAAAAAAAAGAAGUAUCUUUAUCACAGAGACAAUCUGGUGGCCAGCAUGAGAGCCAAGCAAUCGAAUGUAGCACCACCACCAACACUGGGAACCUCCUCAUGUGAAUGAAAUAGAUAGAAUCACUUAGGAAGUUUUCUACCCAAAAUAUUUAAUCUGAAUCUAAUAAGCCAAGAUGUAACUUCCAGGUCAUAAGAAAUAAAGGUCAUAGAGGAUUGCAUUAUACACCUCCUUACAUAGUCAGAAAAAUACAGAAUUUUAUUGGACUUUACAUAAGCAACAGGGCAACGUCCUGUGUUGAAAGAAAUGAGAGGGACAUAAAAAAAAAAUGCAGUGCUUAAACCUUGACUGAAUGAAGGUGCUAAAAACAAAAAAAGCCAUGAAGGUUUAGGCUCAAAUAAGAAAAAUCAAAUAGUAGAUGAUACAAAACUUUUGUCUAUUGUGUGUGUGUGUGUGUGUGGUGGUAUUAUGGCUGUAUAGUACAAUACAUUCUUUCGAGAUAUAUGUUGAAAUGUUUGGGGUGAAUUGUCAUGAUUUCUCUAACUUGCUUUCAUAUAAUAGGUAAAUGAUAGAGAAAGAUACAUACACAUGUGAUGGGUGGAUGGAUAGAAGAAUGGAUGGAGCAAAGGCAGAAUGGACAGAUGGAUGAUAGAAGGGUGGAUAGGUCGAUGGAUGAAGACAGAGAAAGAAAACAAAGAUGAUUUGAAUUGUUCAAUCUGGAUGGAGGGCAUAAGUGUUCAUUACUCUGUUCUUUCAACUUUUCUUAAAGUUUGCAAUUUUUAUAAUAAAUUUGGGGAAAGUUUACCUUCCUCCCUCUAUGAGAAAAGACAAAUUUUAAGGAUGAGGGGGUCUCUUUAACAAUGUAAAGAGGUCUUCCCCUGUCAUGCCCUUUUAAUUCUGUGUUGCAGGGGUGCUUUUCCUCCACCAGGCUCUGACCUUCUUGAGGCCAAGGGAUAAGUCUAGUUUACAGUUCUACCUCCAGUGUUUAGCCCCCAGGGCCUUGCACGCAAUGAACACAUAGCAAAUAUUUGUUGAAUUUAAUUGAAAUUUAUGUAUUGCCUGAAUAACCACAUAGACUGAUUUGGGAAACAACACACUUACUUUGGAUAUGUCGUGAUGAAACCUAACAUUAAAAAUUAAUUGUGCAGACUAAACUGAAAUCAAUAAUAAAUAGAGUUAGAAAAAUAAUACGUAAAUCUUUACCAGGGUCAAAUGAUUUUUGCUUAACAUCUGGCAUCAGAAUUCUUCCAUAGGGAGGAAAUGAGUCUUUGUUUAGAGAAGUAUCCUGAUGACCAACUAUAUGUGAAGAGGAAAGAUAUUAGAGCAGGCUGUGGAAGGAUAAAGCCAAGAUAAAGGAGGGAUAGGAUCUCUCUGAGUAAGAGAUGGUAUAACUAGCUGAUUAUUUAUUUAGCCCUUGCCUCCUCUCUGAAGUCACCAGAGGGUUAGGAGAUUUUUUUUUCCCUUUAGUAAGAGGCAUCUAACCCUCAAUUUCUAAUUAUUUGCCUUUCUGGGGUGUAAGCUUCUCUGUGUGUUCUCAAACUUUCAUAUCAAUAGGAUAUGGACCAAUUUUAUGAAGGUUUGAGUAAUCAGAUGACAGGAGGUAAAACCUCAGUUUAAACACAGUUUAACUAGCUUGUUAAUUACAAGACUAUUCACUUUUCCAUUGAUCUUUCUCCUCUUUUAACUAUUACUCUUUCACUAUUGCCUUCAUAGCAUGAAAUAUCAAGUAGAAACAGCUAACCAGGAGAAGCUCUUUUCUGUGGUGAUGACAGACAUGCAGGAGACAUGUACGGUGACACAAGCACAUACCCAACCUCUGUUAUUCUCUGUCCUACAGCUUUUUAUCUCUAUAGGAAUGGAUUCUUAAAGGUCAGAGUUCUGCGAAUAGACUAUCCUGUAUAUUUCAGGCUAUAGACCUUUGAUCAUUUCAUCUAACCCUCUCUGUUCAAUCCUUCCCUGAAGGUUCAAUUCCUCUUUUACGCUUCCCCUUUUUUUUCCCCUAUCAAUCACGUGAGAGUUGCCUAAAUCUUCCCAGAACUUUUGGCUAUAUGUAUUGGAAAGUCACAACUGUUCAAUCUAGAUGCAGACUCAAGUUGAGGGUGAUUUCUUUAAUUUAGCCCAGGGGCUGACUGCUGAUCUAAAUUACCAAACCAUCACACUCGUGAUUUAUGAUGCAGAGAGAUUGACUAACUGAUUUAUACCCUGGUCCUCACUGCAGACUGUGACUUGUAUCUUACAGAGACUUGGCAAAGAGUUCUGGAGGCAAUAACACCUGUGGAGCCAUCAUUACACGCACCACUGUGAUUAAACUUUAGCUCGUGUGGAAGUCACAUGCACUGAUUUUGCCCUAUUUCUAUAUUUUUGCAGUUGGUACAUUGAUGAUUCACAGCCUUUAAGGGAAGACAAAGGCACAUUGGUAUUAGUAUGGAGAAUACAGAGGGGAGAAAAUAACACUUUGGAGUAAAUAAAGUGCUACUUGUUCUUAUAUAUUGGGAUAUAUACACGUGUGUGUGUGUGUGUUAUGAAUAAGAUAUGACUUUAAUUAUCAGAAUUUGAAAGUCAAAACACUUCCAAGCUGAACAAAGACCAUGGGUGUAUUUUGUUUGGCUUGUAAAAGACUUAACAGGGUUUUGUGAGUCUUUUUGCUAUAGUGGCCAGCAUUUAAUCUGUAGAUACCCUAUAAAAAUAUUUUCCGACUUUUUUUUUUUUUAAUACCCAGAAGUAUCUUUUAAUGUCUUUUUAAAAAACUUCCCCAAUACAUUAUUUUUUUUUCCUACUAACUGCUCUUGAAGAAUGGAAAGAUCUGGCAACUCUGAGGUCUCCUUCAUCUGCUCCCCUCUCCACUCUCAGCCAACACAUGUUGGUCAUCAGAGAAGAAGCACCUCAAGGGAGCAUGAGCUCACCUGUUUGGUUUCCCUUUUGGAAGUUAAGUUAGUGAUUUGUAUUACACCCAGCUUAGCUUUUCCUUUGUCUUUUUUGGUUUGAUUCUCUGAAGCAUUUAUCAACCACAUAUUAAGGGGCAACUAUAAAGACAAAUGACUUUGAUCAUGUAAACACUUGAGGACUUCAACAACAGUCUGAUGUACAAGGUGGUAAAAGGCAAAAGAGAAAAAAGGGAGUAAGAAAUGGGGAUAGAAUGCAAGUUUUUACUGCUCAUUUAUUUUUUCAAAUGGUGUCAUUAUUUAUUGAGUGCCUGCUAUAUGCCAGAUACCAAGCAACACACCAAAGAUACCAAAGGAAAUAAGACCUAACCCAGCCCUUCUAAAACUCAGCAUCUGUUACAGCAUCUCUCAUGCUUUACCGAGUCAAUUUAGGAGCUGGAUAUACAUAUUUCCAGGCCCCAUUCCAGAGACACUGAUACAUAUCAGUGUGUACUGAUUCCACUGUGAAAUCAGGAAUACAAAGGUAAUACUGACAUGUGGUCAAGAUCACUCUCUGAGGAGUAACAGUCAAUUCCGUGCAGAGUGAUCUACACUCUGGAAUCUAGUAAACCAGGAGAUGAGAUGCGUCCUUGGGUGAGUCCAGACCAGUCUAGUGGCUGCAGUAGGAAGUUUGCCAGAAGAAAGAGAGUAGCAAGUAGGACAUUGUAAAGGAGUUCCUGAGAAUAUCAAAGUUGAAAAAUGAGACUGGAGAGGAAGGAUGUAAUAGCUCAACUAGAAGCCUAACAAGCGCUGAAACACUCAUGAGCCAUGGAUUCCAAUAAAAAUGUGGCAUACAUUAUUUCAUCUUUCCAGCAUGGCUAUGACAUGUGAUGUCACUGCCCUAAUUUUACAGGGGAGGAAACUGAGGUUUAAGUGUGAAGUCAGAGUUUCUCAACCUCAACUCUAUUGCCAUUCGGGGAGAAAUGCUUUUUUUGAUGUGGUGGGUUGUCUUAUGUGUUUUGAGAUGUUGAACAGUAUCUUUGGCCUCUACCUACUAGAUGCCAGUAGUGGUCCCUCCCUCUCCCCGUCCCACUCCAGUUUGACAAACAAAAUGUCUCCAGACACUGCCAGAAGGCCCCUGGAAGGGAAAAAUAACUGCUAGUUGAAAUCAUUACAAAUAAGGUCUCACAAGUAGUAAGGGGACAGGCAGAAUUUAUUAAUCUAUUAAAUGCCUAGCUCAAACUCUCAAACAUUUGCCAAGAGAAUAAGUGCAAAAUAGAGAUGAUCAGACUAAAACUUUGUUAAAAAAAAAAAAAAAGAUCACCCUUUGGUAAAAAAAAAAAAAAGCUCAAGGCUUUUAAAAAUAGAAUCCAACUAAACAUGGCAUUCAUGGGCUUGAAUGUACGGGUUGAGCUGCUAAUGGAGGUCUGAAGUUGGAGUAAAAAGUUGCAUGCAUACAGUCUGUGCCUGUGGUUCCUGUGAUUUUACCCUGUGAUACUUUAAAGUAAAUGUGACAUUACACACAUUUUAGCAUCUAUUUUCCCAGCAGGAAGUGUAAGAUAAAGAGGCUCAAUCAGUAUGUUAAAAUAAGACCUGAUGCACAGAAGGGAGAAAAGCUUUCAGUUCAUAAGAAAUAUUAUCUCAAGGAAAUUAAAAGCCUGGAAUAUGCUGUAUGAUUACUGACCCCCAAUGUCCUGCUGUGGUACAGUUGAAGGACUUUCAAAGAUGCUUUCUAUUUGCUAAAUACAUCUGCAAAAGUACAUUGCUUUCCCAGGUGUCAAUGUGCAUCAGUGGGAAAAUGUAUAUUGAUGGGUACCAUCACCAAACCUUCUCAACUGAGAACUUGUUGGAGAAAAAUAAGUCGCUUAAAUUAACAGGUCAAAUGGCAACAGUCUUGAUGGUUACUUUUUUCAAGCUUCUGUUUUCAUCUAUUCUUCCCAAGUAAGCUGAAGAACAAAUUUGUACCAUAUGAAUGUUGUGGUUGAAAAUUAAUCAAUAAGCACAUCGCUUUGAUACCUUUUCUUCUUCCAUUCUUUCCUUCCAUCCCUUUCUUCUUUCCUUCCUUCUUGUUCUCUCAUGUUCUCUUCUUCCUUCAAGCCUUUCUACCUUCAACUGUUCACUCAUUCAGUCGUUUGUUGAAUAAAUAUUUACUAAAUGCUCACUAUGUGCCAGAUACUCUAUUACACUCUGGGGACAGAUGCAACACUUGCCCUCACAAAACUUUAAAUCUAGACGGAGAGGUAGACAGUCAUCAAAAUUUGACUUAAGCAAAGGAAAUCUGCAAUUCUCAUGAGAGCUAUGGCAGACAGGUAGCUGC